GGGGUGGUGGCGUAGUUGGGAACGCGUUAGUCUGAAGAACUAAAGAUCCAUGGUUCGAUUCCGUGUCACCCCA
rnacentral:tRNA from 1 species